rnacentral:lncRNA from 1 species
ACGAUGGUGGAUUUGUUUUCCCUUUUGGAAUAAGCUUCAAAAUUGUUAAUUAAUCUCAUAUACAGACAUUUUCAAACACACCCCCAACAAAAAUAUUUCCCAAAUCAAAAUUCUAAAUUACUGAUGCGAUGUCGUAUCACCCGCCGCCGCAACAACAACCACCGCCACCUCCUCCACCGCCGCCGAUGGCGGCAGCUCAUCAUUUCC